GACGAACGCUGGCGGCGUGCUUAACACAUGCAAGUCGAACGGAAAGGCCCUGCUUUUGUGGGGUGCUCGAGUGGCGAACGGGUGAGUAACACGUGAGUAACCUGCCCUUGACUUUGGGAUAACUUCAGGAAACUGGGGCUAAUACCGGAUAGGAGCUCCUGCUGCAUGGUGGGGGUUGGAAAGUUUCGGCGGUUGGGGAUGGACUCGCGGCUUAUCAGCUUGUUGGUGGGGUAGUGGCUUACAAAGGCUUUGACGGGUAGCCGGCCUGAGAGGGUGACCGGCCAAAUGGGAAUGAAAAACGGCCCAAAAUCCAAAAGGGAGCAACAAUGGGGAAAAAUGCCAAAAGGGGCGAAACCAGAAGCAACAAACCCCCGUUCCGGAAAAACGCCUUUCGGUUGUAAAACCGUUUUCCCCUUUAACAAACCGUGAUGAAGGUAAAUGGUAAAAAAAACACCGGUAAAUUAAUG
rnacentral:rRNA from 1 species